rnacentral:rRNA from 1 species
AUUGAACGCUGGCGGCAUGCCUUACACAUGCAAGUCGAACGGCAGCACGGGUGCUUGCACCUGGUGGCGAGUGGCGAACGGGUGAGUAAUACAUCGGAACGUACCUUAUCGUGGGGGAUAACGCAGCGAAAGCUGUGCUAAUACCGCAUACGCCCUGAGGGGGAAAGCGGGGGAUCGCAAGACCUCGCGCGAUUAGAGCGGCCGAUGCCUGAUUAACUUGUUGGUGGGGUAAAAGCCCACCAAGGCGACGAUCAGCAGCUGGUCUGAGAGGACGAUCAGCCACACUGGGACUGAGAAACGGCCCAGACUCCUACGGGAGGCAGCAGUGGGGAAUUUUGGACAAUGGGGGCAACCCUGAUCCAGCAAUGCCGCGUGAGUGAAGAAGGCCUUCGGGUUGUAAAGCUCUUUUGUCAGGGAAGAAACACCGGCUCUAACACAGUCCGGGAAUGACGGUACCUGAAGAAUAAGCACCGGCUAACUACGUGCCAGCCGCCGCAGUAA